rnacentral:rRNA from 1 species
CGAACGGGUGAGUAAUGCGUGACCAACCUGCCCCAUGCUCCAGAAUAGCUCUUGGAAACGGGUGGUAAUGCUGGAUGCUCCAACUUGACGCAUGUCUUGUUGGGAAAGUGUUUAGUGGCAUGGGAUGGGGUCGCGUCCUAUCAGCUUGUAGGCGGGGUAAUGGCCCACCUAGGCUUCGACGGGUAGCCGGCCUGAGAGGGCGGACGGCCACAUUGGGACUGAGAUACGGCCCAGACUCCUACGGGAGGCAGCGCC